UACGUAGGGUGCGAGCGUUGUCCGGAAUUACUGGGCGUAAAGAGCUCGUAGGUGGUUUGUCGCGUUGUUCGUGAAAACUCACAGCUUAACUGUGGGCGUGCGGGCGAUACGGGCAGACUGGAGUACUGCAGGGGAGACUGGAAUUCCUGGUGUAGCGGUGAAAUGCGCAGAUAUCGGGAGGAACACCGGUGGCGAAGGCGGUUCUCUGGGCCUGACCUGACGCUGAGGAGCGAAAGCGUGGGGAGCGAACAGG
rnacentral:rRNA from 1 species